GCCCAAUGGGCGCAUACCUGAUGGGGCCAUGGCGCGUGUACGAACAAGGCCUUCUGGUUAUAAACCACUUUCAGCUAGUAGGAACACRUUAGGGUCAAUAACCUUUGAGAUUGACGUCACUCGCAUAAGAAUAACCGCCUCACUCCUAGCCAGCACCUGCGGUAAUACUGAGGGUGCAAGAAUUAAUCGGAAUUACAGGGCGCAAAGCGUACGCAGGCGGA
rnacentral:rRNA from 1 species